ACAAGUGGAGAAAUCUACAGGACCAAUACAAGUCUAUGCUUCUCCCAGGAUGCAGGAGCCCAUACGGUGGUCUCUCGGACAGAGAGGAGAAGGUCUCUGUACUCUCAGUUUGCAGGGUUUUUACCCCAAGCCGAUAGAAAUCAAGUGGAGCUGCAGUUCACACAGUGAAGUAACAUCCAGAGAAACCUAUAAAGACAAUCCAGACUCAACCUAUAAUGUGAGAAGUCAGUGCACCGUCCCGGAGGAGGUCAUCACCGACCAUGACUUUAAGAUCAUAGUCACCUGGAGCCACGGAUCGCUGGGUGGACCAGAAAGGAGAGAGAUGUACAUAAGGGACGCAGGUAAAAAUAAAGAUGAUCCGCAGUAAGGAUAUAAAGCGGAAAACCACAGUAUACCGCAGGAAUCAAUGAUCCCCUAGACAACAAUGACUCCAGCGUUACACGUUGCGGCCAGCCGCUCAGUGUAAAUUGCUGCCUUCUCCUAACUCUAUAAUUUGAUCGUAGAACAA